GCGCCGGUGGUGUAAGGCGAACAUCGCUGCCCGAAAGGCAGAAGAUGCGGGUUCGAAUCCCGCCUUGCGCA
rnacentral:tRNA from 1 species